rnacentral:lncRNA from 10 species
GAGAGAAGAAGGCACGUGGAGGGAGGGGAAGGCUGCAUUGUGCAUCAGUAAGCAGGCUCAGUGACCUUCAGUUUCAUCUGAGGGCUGCUUGUUUCUCAAACAAACAAACCUCGAAUGUUUCUGAUGCAACCAGAGUUCUGUAUUUUUCUGGCAGACAUCAUCUGCCUCAGACCUAGGGACUUCUGGGCUUCUCAGCCAUAGCUACACUUGCCUUUUGGCUGGGGCUGUGAGGCUCAUUGCAUCAAUGUUGUGAUCACAUUUAUUUCUUCUCUCGCUAGGGGAGACUGAACAGCAAUCAAAGCACCGUAAGGGAAACCUGUUUCAAUCCUACCUCCUGCUGCUCAGCCUCUAAACAUUCAGGGCCAGACAGGCAAGACUCUGUGGGAGCCUCACCCUCCCAGCCCCAGCACUCAUUCCCCGGGCUAGAGCAUUUACUGUUGAAUCUCAGCAAGUCUUUUUAAAUCUCUAAACAUGGUCUGUGAGGUCCUCACCUUUUCUCUUCCAGAGUCACGUCUCUGUCUGCAUUUCAUCUUCUCUUUCCCAACAACUUUCAAGAACUGUGAAGGGUCUGAUUUGACUCAACGUCCAAGCUACCAUGUUGGUCUUCGAGGAGGCACAAGAGCCUUGGAUCAGAGACAAAAAUCUCGGUUACUCACAGCAGAGAAAUCAGUAUGAGCUUUCCUUGUGCCUGAGUUCCCCUUACUAUCCAAAUCCCAGGGGGAUGAUUUACACAGAUCCAGCAUCCUCCCAGGCCCCUGGGCUCACAACACUAACAGUGUGCCGGCUGGCAAGGAAGUCUCAGCGCAUGCAACACCAUAAUCCCACAGCGGGCAACGGGAGGCAGACUGGGGGCUGAGAACAAUAAAUUAACAGUGAGUACUGCCGCCGUGACAAGUGCAGCUGCCUCCUGCCUUUCCUUCUUUCCUUCAGUCAAAAUGAAGGCAACAUUUGGAUAGUGUGUGCUCAUGUCUUCUGUGUUUUUUUUCUGUCAUAUGGGCUCCUUGACCUUGACAUUGUUUUCUAAGUAUUCUCUCCAAACUCAUUAUUAUUUUGUAACUAACUUUGUUAUCUCCUCACUAAAUGCAUCCCAUUGAACAAUUACAUUUUAAACUCUAACAAGUGUCUCAGGGGCCCCUGUGGUCUGGACCUGCCCAUCUCGCCAGCUCUUGUAGCUCCUAAUUCCCUCAGCAUUUGCAUAUUUCAGUUUUAGGCUUUCUUUUGCUUUCUUUCUUUCCUUCCUUCCUUCCUUCCUUUCUUUUUUCUUUCUUUCUCUCUCUCUCUUUCUUUCUUUUCUUUUCUGUUCUUUUCUUUGUAAGUAUCAGGAUGUUUCCACCUCAGAACCUUCACACCUAAGCUUCACUCCUCUAACACCCCCACUGACUCCCAGGCACUCUCCCCUUUAAACAAAUAAAGAGCUGCAACAGAAAGUUUAGUGUAAGGGGAAACUGGAAACAGAUAGGGUCCUUAGACAUCCUUGCCCUGUGCCCACCCACCGGCCCUUCUCAGCCCCAGAUCCUAGGGUGCAGGAACACACAAACCCAGGUAGGUCGCAGGACUGAAGCCUGUUGGAGCAGCACGACCCCAUCAUCUCAGAGCUCAAGAAGCAACAAGAGCUCAUGUGCCUUCACACACAAGCUUGAGAGAGCCACACAUAUCAUCCGAGUCUCCGAGGCUUUCUGACUUCCUUUUAUCUGAGGGCAUCGCAAUGUCUCACAUGACUAAAAACGUGAAGAAAACUUCUUAAAAGAGAGAAGGAGAAUGUAACAGAAACCGAUUGCCCAGAGUAUCAGCCCGGGAGCCCUAGAUGUUUUAGAAGAGUGUCGUCUGCUGACGCCUCUAGUGCCUUAUCAACACCUUUACCUGUGGAUACAAUUCAAAGGAAGCCUUGAGGAAUGGUGGCUUUCCUGAAGUGUUUGUUCUGCAGCAGAACAAGAACCUUGACAAGAAUGAAGUUACCUGGCUGUUUCAUUCCCUGUCCACCUCAAUUUUUAUGAGUUCAUUGCCCGCCACGGCAGAAUGUGUGUCUCACUGGUUUUCUCAGGUGCAAUGUGAACUUCAUGCUACUUGGUUCAUCUCGUCUACCUGUGUCCUUAAAAGCUAGCACCAGGCUUUAUAGGAAGAAUUAACAUGUUUUAAUGAGAGAAUGAAAACAGUCUGCAAGUUGUUUUGUGGUGUGUCUCAUGGAGCGUCCUUAUUUAUCCUCCAAGUGAUUAGCGGGCAUCGAUUCUGAGUUAAGGACUCCAUGAGGUUUUGGGCUAAAACAGUGAACAAGAUACUCAAGAACUUUUUUAUUAUAACUUUUUUAUUAUCUUUUUUAUUAUAGAACUUCCAAUCCAGCCAGAAUUAAAAAGACAAAAUUGGGUCGGGCGCGGUUGCUCACGUCUGUAAUCCCAGCACCUUGGGAGGCCGAGGUGCGUGGAUUAAGAGGUCAGGAGAUCUAGACAAUCCUGGCUAACAUGGUGAAACCCUGUCUCUACUAAAAAUACGAAAAGUUAGCUGGGCAUGGUGGCACACGCCUGUAGUCCCAGCUACUCGGGAGGCUGAGGCAGGAGAAUCACUUGAACCUGGCAGGCGUUCAAGGUUCAAGGUGGCAGGGUUGCAGUGAGCCAAGAUCACACCACUGUACUCCAGCCUGGCCGACAGAGGAAGACUCUGUCUCAAAAAAAAAAAAAAAAAAAAAAAAAAAAAACCGACAAAAUUGGAACAAAAAUUUUUAGUGGUGGCUCACGCCUGUAAUCCCAACACUUUGGGAGGCUGAGGUGGGAGGAUCCCUUGAGACCAGGAGUUUGAAACCAGCCUGGGCAAAAAAAUGAGACCAUGUUGUCUCUAUGAAAAAUAAACAUAAAAAAUAACUGGGCAUGGUGGCAUGCACCUGUGUUCUCAGCUGCAUGGGAGGCUGAGGUGGUAGGAUUGCUUGAGCCCACAAAGUUGAGGAUGCAGUUAGCUAUGUUCUCACCACUGUACUCCAGCCUGAGCAACAGAGCCAGACCCUGUCCCAGACAAAAAGCAAAAUAAAAAUCUUAGUAUUAUGGUGCUUGCAAAGGAGAAAUACAGAUGGCUCAGCAGUGGAGAGUCAUGGAAGGAUCUUGAACUAGUGGGUGACAAACUCAGAUUUUAAUUACAACAAAGCUUUGAUAGCUUCAGUGAGUUGGUGGAUAUUGAAGGGAAGAAAAUAGUUCAGGAGACAAAUGAGGAAACGUUUACAGUGCUUGAGCUGGGGGAUAGCAUAAAGUCCUGAGCUAGGAUAAUGGCCAUGGGAAUGAGGAGGGAAUGGGGAUAGUGAUGCUGACACGGUGGCUGUCCUUGGGCAGGUGAUGCAGGGCGUGAGAAAGCUGACGCAGGUGCAUGCAAGUGGGUCUCAGAUGCUCUGCUGGUCUUCAGCCUAGCUGGACACAGUGGUGCUCAGUACCACUGUGUAACCACUACUCAAGUGUAGGUUGACUUCUUCCAUCAUCCCUGCUAUGGUAUUAAUGGGUGUGUCCCUCCAAAAUUCAAAUGUGGAUACCUAAUCCCUAAGGUGAUGGCAUUAGAAAGUGGAAGGUGGGGUCUCCAGGAAGCAAUUAGGUCGUGAAGGUUGCACCCUCAUGAAUGGGAUUAAUUCCCCUAUAAAAGAAGCUUCAGGCGGGGUGCAGUGGCUCAUGCCUAUAAUCCCAGAACUUUGGGAGGCUGAGGAGGGUGGAUCACGAGGUCAGGAGAUCAAGACCAUCCUGGCUAACACGGUGAAACCCUGUCUCUACUAAAAAUACAACAAAAUUAGCUGGGCAUGGUGGCAGGAGCCUGUAGUCUCAGCUACUCGGGAG